ACAGCUGACCCUAGCCUCCACCUUCACUGUCACGCUGCUCUUUGGCUCCGACCCUCCUGCCACCCCUUGUGAAUAUUCAGGUGCCAGGGCCCUCUCCAUCUCAACAUCUCUACUCACCCUGCAAAGCCCCUUGAGCCACAGGAGGUCACAUGUCCACAGCUUCCAGGGACAAGGGUGUGGACAUUUUGGAGGAGCCAUGAUGCUGCCUCCCACACCUCCGUUCGAACAUUAUCACAGCCCAGACAGAUUCUCCUGCAGCCUGGGGCCUGGAAUGCAAAGGCCACUGGGGCCAAAUCAGCUGCACGGAGCUGAGCCAGCAGAGCCGCAGGCAGCAGCCGCCCUGUGAGCAGCUGGGAACCACUGAGAAGUGGAGAUGUUUGUCAUAGCAGCAGCAGCUGGCAGAUACUUGCUAUCCACACACCCUGGGCACACAUGGGCACCAAGGCUGGGGGCGACAGAACUUUACACUGUGGGAUUCUCUCCUGACAGCCAAGAAGGGGGUUUUCCCUUCUACCAUGAAGAACUUCCCCGGAGGUCUCCCCACAUCUAAUAAUUAGGAAGAUAACGUGGUCAUCAACAAUAAAAGCUGCCCAGGCAGGCGCCUGCA
rnacentral:lncRNA from 1 species